rnacentral:lncRNA from 8 species
ACAAUUUUUCCCCAAAAUAUUCCUACAAUAUAUGCAGCUGUUUCAUGGAAUUUGUACUUUUCUCCAUUCAAGGAACAUGCAAAACUCAAUCACGCAAUAUAGCCUACCUUUACAAUCUUGUCCUCUCGAACUUCCCUAAAUAAGGCAUUCCACCUCCUCCAAUCAGAAAAGCCUUUCGUUUCCACGUAAACAGGUGAAAAACCCAACCAGGAAGUAAACAAUAAUGGCGAUGACUUCAAGAAAAAUAGUUUCUAAUGUUUUAAAACUAUUUCUUAUUUUCUUUAUUCAACAAACACUUUGUGGGAGACCCACCACUAGUUUAUCUUUAACCCAGAAGUUAUCGGAGGACAGGAAUGGGAUCCAUAUGAGAAGUGUCACCCCCACCAAGUCGUCAACUCAACAGGCAAGACUGCACCCGGGGGUCAUUGCAGCUGUGAUAUUCGUUACAUUUACUGCAGUUCUUGCUGCAGUUUUUAUCAUCAGAAAAUACUGCUUUCCCCGCAGCGAGGCCACAUACAGGUACUCAGUGCUGAGGCGGAUGGAGGCUGAGGGGCCAGGAGGGACGGAGGAGGAGGAGGACAGGCCCGGGCCCUACACACUGGGGGAGGACUCUGAUGAGGUUGGUGGACCUGGUCCUGUGUCCCUGUCAUCCUCCACGUCACUAUAG